rnacentral:rRNA from 1 species
GAUGAACGCUGGCGGCGUGCCUAAUACAUGCAAGUCGAGCGAACACACGAGGAGCUUUCUCCUCUGACUUUAGCGGCGGACGGGUGAGUAACACGUGGAUAACCUACCUAUUAUACUGGGGUAACUUCGGGAAACCGGAGCUAAUACCCGACAAAUUAUUACACCUUAUGGUUCAAUAGUGAAAGAAGGUUUUGCGUAUACUUUAGGCUUGCGUCGCAUUGCCUUAUCUAGUUGGUAAGGUAACGGCUUACCAACGCUACGAUGCGUAGCCGACCUGAGUGGGUGAUCGGACACACUGGACCUGAACCACGGUCCAGACUCCUCUGCGAGGCAGCGGUAGGGAAUCUUCCGCAAUGCGCUAAAGCCUGACGGGACCACGCCGAGUGGGUGAUGAAGUUCUUCGGAUCGUAAAACUCUGUUAUUAGGGAACAACAAAUGUGUAAGUAACUAUGCACGUCUUGACGGUACCUAAUCAGAAAGCAACGGCUAACUCCGUG